GUGAGGGAAAGGUGAAAAGAACCCCGGGAGGGGAGUGAAAUAGAACCUGAAACCCUGCACUUACAAGCUGUGGAAGCACAUUUCUUGUGUGACCGCGUACUUUUUGUAGAACGGGCCAACGAGUUACGUUAAGUAGCAAGGUUAAGCACUUAAGGUGCGGAGCCGUAGCGAAAGCGAGUUUUAACUGAGCGUUCAGUUACUUGACGUAGACCCGAAACCGGGCGACCUACCCAUGAGCAGGAUGAAGCGAAAGUAAAAUUUCGUGGAGGUCCGAACCCACGAGCGUUGAAAAGCUCGGGGAUGACUUGUGGGUAGCGGUGAAAUUCCAAUCGAGCCCGGAGAUAGCUGGUUCUCCCCGAAAUAGCUUUAGGGCUAGCCUCAAGGUGAGAGAUACGGAGGUAGAGCACUGAAUGUCCUAGGGGGUAUUGCACCUACCGAAGACUAUCAAACUCCGAAUGCCGUCAUCUUAUACUUGGGAGUCAGACUGUGGGUGAUAAGAUUCAUAGUCGAAAGGGCAACAGCCCAGAUCGUCAGCUAAGGUCCCUAAAUGUAAGUUAAGUGGUAAAGGAUGUGGGAUUGCACAGACAACCAGGAUGUUGGCUUAGAAGCAGCCACUCAUUCAAAGAGUGCGUAAUAGCUCACUGGUCGAGUGAUCCUGCGCCGAAGAUUUCCGGGGCUAAAACUUACUACCGAAGCUACGGCAUCAGUAAUGAUGGGUAGGGGAGCUUCCCAUACGGGUUGAAGCAUGACCGUAAGGACAUGUGGACAGUAUGGGAGUGAGAAUGUUGGCAUGAGUAGCGAGAUGUGGGUGAGAAUCCCACAGGCCGUAAACCCAAGGUUUCCAGGGGAAGGUUCGUCCGCCCUGGGUUAGUCGGGACCUAAGCUGAGGCCGAAAGGCGUAGGUGAUGGACAACAGGUUGAUAUUCCUGUAC
rnacentral:rRNA from 1 species